rnacentral:rRNA from 1 species
UGCCAGCCGCCGCGGUAACACGAACUGCGCGAACGUUAUUCGGAAUCACUGGGCUUAAAGGGUGCGUAGGCGGCUAUGUAGGUGGGGUGUGAAAUCCCUCGGCUCAACCGAGGAACUGCGCUCCAAACCACAUAGCUUGAGGGAGAUAGAGGUGAGCGGAACUAGCAGUGGAGCGGUGAAAUGCGUUGAUAUUGCUGGGAACACCUGUGGCGAAAGCGGCUCACUGGGUCUCUUCUGACGCUGAGGCACGAAAGCUAGGGGAGCAAACAGGAUUAGAUA